UCUCUCUCUCUCACACACACACAGAGUACGAGUUCUCUAUAAAUUUUGUAUGGAAAUGGCAUUAUAGUAGUCCAUCUGGCAAGAAUUUCAAAUAUAGUCAUCACUUCUGACCAAAUAGCAUAUAAGGUGAUGUUUAGUCCUAUAUUGUGCCCUUGUUUCUAACUCUUUAUCUGAUGCAUCCAAUAUUAAUUGGUAUAUGUUCUUCUUUCUAAAUUCAACAGUGUUUGACCAAACUUCUUUUUGUUGUUUUUAGUCAACAAAGAGUAUUCACAGUUCAAGUAUUUGAGUUACAUAGGAUCAUGAAGGUAUGCUGGAUAUUGCUUGAUCGAGUUGCUAUGCCUUUUCUACUAUGAGAUAUGCAUAUGAUUUCUGGUCUUGAUUUCUUGUGUCCGUUGGUGAAAAGAGAACCUACUGGUUGAAUCUUGAUGUUGUCUUGGAAUAGGUACAAAAAUUGAUUGCUGGAUCAUCUGAUGUGUUUCUUGAAGAAAACAUUUGUCUUGGAAAAGCUCCAUUGAAGUCACCUCUGGAGAAGGUUCCAUCUGAGAAUGCUAUUGAACAACCUCCAUUGAUUGUUAAACCAAAAGAUGGUUCACACAAGCAAUAUGCUAGCGCUGAAUUUGCUGAUGAGAAUGCUGUUGGGAAGCUUCCUCUUCCUUCUAUCCAUAAUGAAACUGGUGAAGGACAUCUUACCCAGCAAUCAAAUUACAAUUGUCAUUCGGAAGGCGUGCUGCCAGCUCCUCUUGCUGCCAAUACCAGACCAUCUCCAUGGUAUUUCCCAUCACAUGGAAAUCAUUGGUUAUUUCCGGUCAUGUCCCCUUCUGAGGGUCUUGUUUACAAGCCUUACACAGGGCCAUGCCCUUCAGCUGCUGGAUUUGUGGCCCCCGUUUAUGGCAACUUUGGUCCUAUGAGUUUAACAGCUGGGGGUGGAGACUUUUUGAAUGCAGCCUAUGGUGUUCCGGCUUCUCAUCAACAAGGUAUUGGAAUCCUUACCAGCACCCCUCAUCUGGGACAGACAUACUUUCCACCAUAUGGCAUGCCAGUCAUGACUCUGUCCAUUUCAGGAUCAGCAGUUGAGCAGGUAAGCCCAUUCACUGGACCCCAAUCAAAGGAUAAUCAGCCAUCAGUUGGAGACAUUAACUUCAAUUUUCCCCACCAGAGCUCAUGUAACAUGUCAAGCCAGAUGAGUCGUGUGAUCUCACAUAUUGGGAAAUUUCGAGCAUCAAAGGAAAGUGAGUUACAGGGAAGCACAGCAAGUGGUCCCUCAGAGAGGCCUAAAGGAGAUGCACUUCCUCUUUUUCCUACAGAACCAACAGCUCAGGCUUCAGAUCAAAAUGCUCAAACUAUUGAGCCACGGACAAGUGUGGUAAGGGUUGUGCCUCACAAUCCUAGAUCGGCAACUGAAUCAGCAGCCCGGAUUUUGCGGUCCAUACAAGAAGAAAGAAAACAGUAUGAUUAGUUUAUGGAAAUUGUAUCCAGUGCAGUUGGAAGUGAUAAUGUUCUUAGUAGUCUCAUCAAAUAUACUUCUGUAUCUGUAAUUGCAUUAUACAUAUUAAUAGCAUGUAAAUACAUUUUGUUUAGUGAGAAUAGAUCAGUCCAUACUCCAGGAAGGUUGCCUUACAUCAGUUGCAUCCUUUGCCAUCCAAGAUUCAAGCACCUCAUGUAUACCCCAGUCCUGUAAUGUGAAUUCCAGUGCCUUACUGAAAAAGAAAUACUACAGUUGCACCUUAUCAUGGGACAUUAUUAUGCAUUGCUUUGCAAGAUCAUUUAACUGUGUCAUAACUUGUCAGAAUUGAGAUCGUUUGCUUUCAGUGAAACACGCAACCAGUCCCAUUCAUCAUCCGCCUUGAACUACAUACAAUCGAUAUAGGCUGGAGAGUGAAUCAUGGUAUCCCAGAAGAUAUUGGAUCGCCGGUUCUAAGAGAAGUUGCUUUUUUAAAAUGGCUGCAUGGAAAUUCAACUCCUACUCAUUCCCUUUCCGCGAAGGUGACAAAGGUCUCGGGGUACAGAACGGGUCAAACGACAAUAGUAAACAAAAGAGGACUUGUUCCGAAGAAGCUUAUAAUGCGGGAAAGCCUACAAGGUAUGAGCGAAAGAAAAUUUUCCCCGUGAUUACCAUUAUUGAAAAUUUUCCCCAUGAUUACCAGUAUUAGCUUGCUCUUGCCUUAAUGGAUGUGUUGGAUUUCCAUGACCGCUAGCACUAUUCCUUGUUUGGAAAUGACAGUUUUUAUUAUGUUUCCAUUUAACUGGAUUUGUUGGG
rnacentral:misc_RNA from 1 species